ACGCUGGCGGCGUGCCUAAUACAUGCAAGUCGUACGCUUCUUUUUCCACCGGAGCUUGCUCCACCGGAAAAAGAAGAGUGGCGAACGGGUGAGUAACACGUGGGUAACCUGCCCAUCAGAAGGGGAUAACACUUGGAAACAGGUGCUAAUACCGUAUAACAAUCGAAACCGCAUGGUUUUGAUUUGAAAGGCGCUUUCGGGUGUCGCUGAUGGAUGGACCCGCGGUGCAUUAGCUAGUUGGUGAGGUAACGGCUCACCAAGGCCACGAUGCAUAGCCGACCUGAGAGGGUGAUCGGCCACAUUGGGACUGAGACACGGCCCAAACUCCUACGGGAGGCAGCAGUAGGGAAUCUUCGGCAAUGGACGAAAGUCUGACCGAGCAACGCCGCGUGAGUGAAGAAGGUUUUCGGAUCGUAAAACUCUGUUGUUAGAGAAGAACAAGGAUGAGAGUAACUGUUCAUCCCUUGACGGUAUCUAACCAGAAAGCCACGGCUAACUACGUGCCAGCAGCCGCGGUAAUACGUAGGUGGCAAGCGUUGUCCGGAUUUAUUGGGCGUAAAGCGAGCGCAGGCGGUUUCUUAAGUCUGAUGUGAAAGCCCCCGGCUCAACCGGGGAGGGUCAUUGGAAACUGGGAGACUUGAGUGCAGAAGAGGAGAGUGGAAUUCCAUGUGUAGCGGUGAAAUGCGUAGAUAUAUGGAGGAACACCAGUGGCGAAGGCGGCUCUCUGGUCUGUAACUGACGCUGAGGCUCGAAAGCGUGGGGAGCAAACAGGAUUAGAUACCCUGGUAGUCCACGCCGUAAACGAUGAGUGCUAAGUGUUGGAGGGUUUCCGCCCUUCAGUGCUGCAGCUAACGCAUUAAGCACUCCGCCUGGGGAGUACGACCGCAAGGUUGAAACUCAAAGGAAUUGACGGGGGCCCGCACAAGCGGUGGAGCAUGUGGUUUAAUUCGAAGCAACGCGAAGAACCUUACCAGGUCUUGACAUCCUUUGACCACUCUAGAGAUAGAGCUUCCCCUUCGGGGGCAAAGUGACAGGUGGUGCAUGGUUGUCGUCAGCUCGUGUCGUGAGAUGUUGGGUUAAGUCCCGCAACGAGCGCAACCCUUAUUGUUAGUUGCCAUCAUUCAGUUGGGCACUCUAGCAAGACUGCCGGUGACAAACCGGAGGAAGGUGGGGAUGACGUCAAAUCAUCAUGCCCCUUAUGACCUGGGCUACACACGUGCUACAAUGGGAAGUACAACGAGUCGCGAAGUCGCGAGGCUAAGCUAAUCUCUUAAAGCUUCUCUCAGUUCGGAUUGUAGGCUGCAACUCGCCUACAUGAAGCCGGAAUCGCUAGUAAUCGCGGAUCAGCACGCCGCGGUGAAUACGUUCCCGGGCCUUGUACACACCGCCCGUCACACCACGAGAGUUUGUAACACCCGAAGUCGGUGAGGUAAC
rnacentral:rRNA from 1 species